CACGUAGGCGGAUCGGUAAGUCAGAUGUGAAAUCCCGGAGCUCAACUCCGGAACUGCAUUUGAUACUGCCAGUCUUGAGUGAGGUAGAGGGGGUGGAAUUCCCGGUGUAGAGGUGAAAUUCGUAGAUAUCGGGAGGAACACCAGAGGCGAAGGCGACCCCCUGGGCCUUUACUGACGCUGAGGUGCGAAAGCGUGGGGAGCAAACAG
rnacentral:rRNA from 1 species